rnacentral:rRNA from 1 species
CGCGUAGGCGGUUUGGUCAGUUGGAUGUGAAAGCCCAGGGCUUAACCUUGGAAUUGCAUUCAAUACUGCCAGGCUAGAGUACGGUAGAGGGGGGUAGAAUUCCACGUGUAGCGGUGAAAUGCGUAGAGAUGUGGAGGAAUACCAGUGGCGAAGGCCGGCCCCCUGGAUCGAUACUGACGCUGAGGUGCGAAAGCGGUGGGGAGCAAACA